GAGAGGCCGGGGGGGCGACUGUAUACCCCCCUCCUCCCCAAAUAUACCCCCCUUACUCUCAUCAUCUCAUCCUUCCAUCCAUCCGCCUGCCUGCAUGCCCCCUCAGACCAGGGUCAUACCAUUCAGAUCCCCCUCUUCUCCCUCUCCUCCCAGCCUACUAAACUAACCCUGUUCCCCCUCUUCUCCCUCUCCUCCCAGCCUACUAAACUAACCCUGUUCCCCCUCUCCUCCCAGCCUACUAAACUAACCCUGUUCCCCCUCUUCUCCCAGCCUACUAAACUAACCCUGCUCCCCCUCUUCUCCCAGCCUACUAAACUAACCCUGUUCCCCCUCUUCUCCCUCUCCUCCCAGCCUACUAAACUAACCCUGUUCCCCCUCUUCUCCCUCUCCUCCCAGCCUACUAAACUAACCCUGCUCCCCCUCUCCUCCCAGCCUACUAAACUAACCCUGUUCCCCCUCUUCUCCCUCUCCUCCCAGCCUACUAAACUAACCCUGCUCCCCCUCUUCUCCCAGCCUACUAAACUAACCCUGCUCCCCCUCUUCUCCCAGCCUACUAAACUAACCCUGCUCCCCCUCUUCUCCCUCUCCUCCCAGCCUACUAAACUAACCCUGUUCCCCCUCUUCUCCCUCUCCUCCCAGCCUACUAAACUAACCCUGUUCCCCCUCUUCUCCCUCUCCUCCCAGCCUACUAAACUAACCCUGUUCCCCCUCUUCUCCCUCUUCUCCCAGCCUACUAAACUAACCCUGCUCCCCCUCUUCUCCCAGCCUACUAAACUAACCCUGCUCCCCCUCUUCUCCCUCUCCUCCCAGCCUACUAAACUAACCCUGUUCCCCCUCUUCUCCCUCUCCUCCCAGCCUACUAAACUAACCCUGCUCCCCCUCUUCUCCCAGCCUACUAAACUAACCCUGCUCCCCCUCUUCUCCCAGCCUACUAAACUAACUCUGCUCCCCCUCUUCUCCCAGCCUACUAAACUAACCCCCCUCUUCUCCCUCUCCUCCCAGCCUACUAAACUAACCCUGCUCCCCCUCUUCUCCCAGCCUACUAAACUAACCCUGUUCCCCCUCUUCUCCCUCUCCUCCCAGCCUACUAAACUAACCCUGCUCCCCCUCUUCUCCCAGCCUACUAAACUAACCCUGCUCCCCCUCUUCUUGUGUCCCAUUGGAUUCUGUUUCUAG
rnacentral:lncRNA from 1 species